rnacentral:rRNA from 1 species
GGAAAUAGCCACUUGAAAAAGUGAUUAAUGUCCCAUAGGAGAUUUAUUCAAAAGAACUAAUCUUUAAAGGAGCUUGCUCCACCUAGGGAUUGGAAUAUGAUCUAUUAGCUUGUUGGCGGGGUAAAAGCCCACCAAGGCGAUGAUAGAUAGCUGGUCUAAGAGGAUGAACAGCCACAAUGGGAUUGAGAUACGGCCCAUAUUCCUACGGGAAGCAGCAGUAGGGAAUCUUCCACAAUGGGCGAAAGCCUGAUGGAGCAAUGCCAUGUGAACGACGAAGGCCCUAUGGGUCGUAAAGUUCUUUUAGGGGGGAAAACUAGGAUGGUAUCCCCUGAAUAAGUGACAGCAAACUAUGUGCCAGCAGCUGCGGUAAUACAUAGGUCGCGAGCGUUAUUCGGAUUUAUUGGGCGUAAAGCAAGCGCAGGCGGAUGUAUAAGUUCUGUGUGAAAAGCAGCUGCUCAACAGCUGUUGGCGCCGAAUACUAUACAUCUAGAAUACGGUAGGAAGUUUUGGAAUUGAAUAUGGAGCGGUGGAAUGUGUAGAUAUAUUCAAGAACACCAGAGGCGAAGGCGAAAACUUAGGCCGAUAUUGACGCUUAGGCUUGAAAGUGUGGGGAGCAAAUGGGAUUAGAUACCCCAGUAGUCCACACCGUAAACGAUGGGUAUUAAAUUUUGGGGUUAGUGCCUCAGAGUUGUAGCUUACGUGUUAAAUACCCCGCCUGGGUAGUACAUAUGCAAAUAUGAAAC